CUACGGGACGCUGCAGUGGGGAAUAUCGCACAAUGGAGGAAACUCUGAUGCAGCAACGCCGCGUGGAGGAUGACACUUUUCGGAGCGUAAACUCCUUUUAUAUAGGAAGAAGAUGACGGUACUAUAUGAAUAAGCGCCGGCUAACUCCGUGCCAGCAGCCGCGGUAAUACGGAGGGCGCAAGCGUUACCCGGAAUCACUGGGCGUAAAGAGCGUGUAGGCGGAUUAAAAAGUCAGAAGUGAAAUCCUAUAGCUUAACUAUAGAACUGCUUCUGAAACUCUUAAUCUAGAAUAUGGGAGAGGUAGAUGGAAUUUCUGGUGUAGGGGUAAAAUCCGUAGAGAUCAGAAGGAAUACCGAUUGCGAAGGCGAUCUACUAGAACAUUAUUGACGCUGAGACGCGAAAGCGUGGGGAGCAAACAGGAUUAGAUACCCCAGUAGUC
rnacentral:rRNA from 1 species